rnacentral:rRNA from 1 species
ACACAUGCAAGUCGAGGGGAAACGACAUCGAAAGCUUGCUUUUGAUGGGCGUCGACCGGCGCACGGGUGAGUAACGCGUAUCCAACCUGCCCAUCACUUGGGGAUAACCCUGCGAAAGUAAGACUAAUACCCAAUGACGUCUCUAGAAGACAUCUGGAAGAGAUUAAAGAUUUAUCGGUGAUGGAUGGGGAUGCGUCUGAUUAGCUUGUUGGCGGGGUAACGGCCCACCAAGGCGACGAUCAGUAGGGGUUCUGAGAGGAAGGUCCCCCACAUUGGAACUGAGACACGGUCCAAACUCCUACGGGAGGCAGCAGUGAGGAAUAUUGGUCAAUGGACGAGAGUCUGAACCAGCCAAGUAGCGUGCAGGAUGACGGCCCUAUGGGUUGUAAACUGCUUUUAUAAGGGAAUAAAGUUAGUCUCGUGAGACUUUUUGCAUGUACCUUAUGAAUAAGGACCGGCUAAUUCCGUGCCAGCAGCCGCGGUAAUACGGAAGGUCCGGGCGUUAUCCGGAUUUAUUGGGUUUAAAGGGAGCGUAGGCCGGAGAUUAAGCGUGUUGUGAAAUGUAGACGCUCAACGUCUGCACUGCAGCGCGAACUGGUUUCCUUGAGUACGCACAAAGUGGGCGGAAUUCGUGGUGUAGCGGUGAAAUGCUUAGAUAUCACGAAGAACUCCGAUUGCGAAGGCAGCUCACUGGAGCGCAACUGACGCUGAAGCUCGAAAGUGCGGGUAUCGAACAGGAUUAGAUACCCUGGUAGUCCGCACGGUAAACGAUGGAUGCCCGCUGUUGGUCUGAAUAGGUCAGCGGCCAAGCGAAAGCAUUAAGCAUCCCACCUGGGG